rnacentral:rRNA from 1 species
UACGUAGGGUGCAAGCGUUAAUCGGAAUUACUGGGCGUAAAGCGUGCGCAGGCGGUUUUGUAAGACAGAUGUGAAAUCCCCGGGCUCAACCUGGGAACUGCAUUUGUGACUGUAUAGCUAGAGUACGGUAGAGGGGGAUGGAAUUCCGCGUGUAGCAGUGAAAUGCGUAGAUAUGCGGAGGAACACCGAUGGCGAAGGCAAUCCCCUGGACCUGUACUGACGCUCAUGCACGAAAGCGUGGGGAGCAAACAGG